GAUGAAAACGUAGCGAAAUGCGAUAAGUAAUGUGAAUUGCAGAAUUCAGUGAAUCAUCGAAUCUUUGAACGCACCUUGCGCCCUUUGGCCAUUCCGAAGGGCAUGCCUGUUUGAGUAUCAUGAACACCUCAACUCUUCAUGGUUUUCCGUGAUGAGCUUGGACUUUGGGGGUCUUGCUGGCCUAUGGUCAGCUCCUCUAAAAUAAAUCAGCUUGCCAGUGUUUGGUGGGUAUCACAGGUGUGAUAACUAUCUACGCUUGUGGUUUUCCACCAGGUAACCUUCAGCAGUGGAGGUUCGCUGGAGCUCACAGAUGUGUCUCUCCUCAGUGAGGACAGCUCUUUGAAUGUUUGAUCUCAAAUCAGGUAGGACUACCCGCUGAACUUAAGCAUAUCAAUAAGCGGAGGA
rnacentral:misc_RNA from 1 species